rnacentral:rRNA from 1 species
CAGGACGAACGCUGGCGGCACGCUAACACAUGCAAGUCAACGGGGUCAUUUGGAGCUUGCUUUGAAUGACCUAGUGGCGGACGGGUGAGUAACACGUGAGCAAUCUGCCCUUAAGAGGGGGAUAGCAGUUGGAAACGACUGAUAAUACCGCAUAAGAUAGUAGUACCGCAUGGUACAGCUAUAAAAGAUUUAUCGCCUAAGGAUGAGCUCGCGUCUGAUUAGCUAGUUGGUGAGGUAACGGCUCACCAAGGCAACGAUCAGUAGCCGGACUGAGAGGUUGGACGGCCACAUUGGGACUGAGACACGGCCCAGACUCCUACGGGAGGCAGCAGUGGGGAAUAUUGCACAAUGGAGGGAACUCUGAUGCCAGCGAUGCCGCGUGAGGGAAGAAGGUUUUAGGAUUGUAAACCUCUGUUGACAGGGACGAUAAUGACGGUACCUGUUGAGGAAGCUCCGGCUAACUACGUGCCAGCCGCAGC